rnacentral:misc_RNA from 1 species
UAAAUCAAGUGAAUUACCUGACACAAGAAUUACCUGAUAGCGAAAUUACUAAAUCAAGGAAAUUACCUAACAAAGAAUUGUCUGUGAAAAGAAUAACCCUUCAGGGGUAAAUAGACUGAGAAAUACUCGAGAGGAUUAAAGACCCAUUUGUGUUGUUUUUCACACUCCGCCAUCAUUGAUACGGAAGCCAGCGAAAUGGGCCACCAGCAGAAUUGGCCGUAUAUCAUCAACCUGGGCAAUAGCAUUAUAGGAGUCAGUGUGCUGGCAAUGCCCUUCUGUUUUAAACAGUGUGGUGUUGUCCUUGGAAUUCUGCUCUUACUUACGAGUGCAUGGUUGACCCAGAUAGCAUGUAAAUUACUCAUGAAGGCAGCCCUCACCUCAAAGAAAAGAUCUUACGAAUACUUAGCUCUGCAUACAUUUGGCCCUGGGGGUAAACUUCUAGUAGAACUCAGCAUAAUCGGUCUUCUACUUGGGACGUGUAUUGCAUUCCAUGUCAUUAUAGGAGACCUUGGGCCUGCCAUUGUCUCUAAAUUUACUGGCUUAGAGAACACAUCAACAUUACGUACCUCACUAAUGGUGUGCCUUGGACUCUGUGUUGCUUUGCCUCUUGGUUUGUUACGAAGUGUCGAAAGCCUGAGCAACAUUAGUGCAAUAUCCCUUGGGUUCUACACAAUCUUCAUUGCAGAGGUGUUUAUUGUAGCUUUGCCAAACAUCAUAAGUGGAACCUGGUGGGACAGCAUCAAUGCGUGGCGACCCGCUGGCGUGUUUGCAUGUCUGCCCAUAUUUGCGUUAUCAUUGGCAUGUCAGCCGCAAUUGUUUGUUAUGUAUGAUGCACUCCCAGAGCCCUCCUUGAGCAGGAUGAACUCUAUCAUCGGCAGUGCUAUCAAUAUGUGUACAUCUGCAUACUUGUUUGUUGGCUUCUUUGGCUAUAUAGCAUUCUAUGAUCAGAAUUUAUCUGGGGAUGUACUGGUCAGCUUUAAGCCAGGGAUAUUUAGCGAUUCUAUCAAGUUUGGCUUCGUCCUCUCCAUCGCAGUUAGUUUCCCAUUGGUGAUCUUUCCAUGUAGGGCCAGUUUAUACACACUGUUUUUCGCACAUAAAUCUGGCAGCCAUGUCAUUCCUGAUCUCCAUUUCAAAGCAAUUACAGUUUGCAUUGUGAUUGGGACGCUUAUAAUUGGAAUACUGGUGCCAAACAUUGAAUUUAUCCUUGGCUUGACGGGUGCUACGAUGGGUUCGUUGAUCUGUUUCAUCUUUCCUGCCGUUAUGUACAUCAAUGUUAUGUCUCACAAUAAAUCUACGGGGAAAUCGGUAGCUCAGCUUGUACUUUUCCUGGGGGUGACCAUCCUCCUUGCCAGUACCUACACUACCCUCUACUCUCAAGACAAAGGCCACAUUGAUGAACCUAUUAAACCACCAGUACAAGACUUAGAAAAAGAACCAAUCCAUAUUCCUAAAGAUGCUGAUAAUAUCCUGAAAGAUCCUGAGCAAGAAAAAGCCCUUGCAGAUAAAGACAAAGUUGAGGAGGCAAUACGAGGGAAGCCAACUAUUAAACCUCCUGCUAAAGAUGAUGCCAAUGUUGAAUCCAAGGAUCUAUAAAAUGAGAAGAAAGAAAUUCGCCAAGAACCUCCUAUCCCUCAUGCCCCAGAUGAGCCAGACAAGUCUGAGAAAGAUGGAAAGGAAGAAAUUAAAGAAGAACCAGCAAGAGAGGAGAAGGACACUGCUAUAGCAGAUGCUGAUCACCUUAAGGAUGGUGAUGCCAGCAAGAAUGAUAAGAAAGCUGAUGGUGAGAAGUCCAAGAAGGAUCUCCAACUUGAACAAGAGAAGCAGGAAGAUGCAAAGAAGCAGAAAGACCUGAUUGAUACGCUCGAGAAACAACAAGAACAACAAAAGCAGCUCAUUGAGGAGCAAAAGGAGUUGAUCAACGAACUGAAGGAACAUAAGAAAGAGCAUGAAAUUGAGAAAGCUAUUGAAAAAGAGGAGAAAGCCAAAGAGAAGCAGGAGAAAGAGCGAGAAAAACAACAGAAAGAGCAAGAAGAGUUAGAGAAAAAACAGAAAGAGGAACUUGAAAAACAGAAAGCAGAGUUAGAAAAACAGCAGCUAGCCAUAGAUGCAGCUAAAUUAGCAAAUCAACAGCAGCAGCAACAGCAGCAG